rnacentral:lncRNA from 1 species
CAGGGACCUUGACGAGGCCUUCGAGGACCCCAAGCUGUCUCCACGGGUGGGAUCCCACCUGUUUGGUAUCCCUUUCUGAGCACAGCCAGGUGGGGCAUUUGGGCUUGCACCUGUAGGAGCCCUUCAGACCCCAGAGACGGGACCCUCAGCACCGCCCCUUAUCGGAACACUCCUGCCGGGAUCUCCCCUGGGAGACGCCCCUACACGGAGCCCUGCGGUCUGUGUCUAGACGUCCAGCCCUAUUGACGUCGGACAUGGCCAGGCCCGCCACCGGACCCUGCAGCCUUGGGGUAAAGGCCACAAAGGGAGAGAGGGAGACUGAGGAUACAGACCAGGAGGCGGCCUGGCCUCUUCUUUGCCUCUUCAGACAGC